rnacentral:rRNA from 1 species
GACGAACGCUGGCGGCGUGCUUAACACAUGCAAGUCGAACGGAAAGGCCCUGCUUUUGUGGGGUGCUCGAGUGGCGAACGGGUGAGUAACACGUGAGUAACCUGCCCUUGACUUUGGGAUAACUUCAGGAAACUGGGGCUAAUACCGGAUAGGAGCUCCUGCUGCACGGUGGGGGUUGGAAAGUUUCGGCGGUCGGGGAUGGACUCGCGGCUUAUCAGCUUGUUGGUGGGGUAGUGGCUUACCAAGGCUUUGACGGGUAGCCGGCCUGAGAGGGUGACCGGCCACAUUGGGACUGAGAUACGGCCCAGACUCCUACGGGAGGCAGCAGUGGGGAAUAUUGCACAAUGGGCGGAAGCCUGAUGCAGCAACGCCGCGUGCGGGAUGACGGCCUUCGGGUUGUGAACCGCUUUCGCCUGUGACGAAGCGUGAGUGACGGUAAUGGGUAAAGAAGCACCGGCUAACUACGUG